rnacentral:rRNA from 1 species
GACGAACGCUGGCGGCGUGCCUAAUACAUGCAAGUAGAACGCUGAAGGAGGAGCUUGCUUCUCUGGAUGAGUUGCGAACGGGUGAGUAACGCGUAGGUAACCUGCCUGGUAGCGGGGGAUAACUAUUGGAAACGAUAGCUAAUACCGCAUAAUAGUAGAUGUUGCAUGACAUUUGCCUAAAAGGUGCAAUUGCAUCACUACCAGAUGGACCUGCGUUGUAUUAGCUAGUUGGUGGGGUAACGGCUCACCAAGGCGACGAUACAUAGCCGACCUGAGAGGGUGAUCGGCCACACUGGGACUGAGACACGGCCCAGACGACUACGGGAGAGAGCAGUAGGGAAUCUUCGGGAAUGGACGGAAGGCUGACCAAGCAACGCCGCGUGAGUGAAGAAGGUUUUCGGAUCGUAAAGCUCUGUUGUAAGAGAAGAACGAGUGUGAGAGUGGAAAGUUCACACUGUGACGGUAUCUUACCAGAAAGGGACGGCUAACUACGUG